rnacentral:snoRNA from 1 species
UCCCAGUAGGGGAAAAAGUCAUGCAUCUUAUCUCUUAUCUUAUUCCCAGGGCCUGUGAAGGUGAACCCACUGGGGCUGGCUGGGGAAGGAGGAGGGAAGUUCCAGAAGGAACUGCCUGAGAGAU